GCAUAAUCCCGGUUGCAACCAGUCAACAGCAUCUGCUGCUUCUUGGCACAGAGGGAAAGAAGAUAUGGCAACUGUGUCAUGUAUAAUUAACCUUCUUCACAUCCAUCUCCUCUGAUGGACUUGAGUCUAUGAGCUUUUUGUCACCAGGACAUUAAUGUCAGGAAGCCACUUUCUGCUGACAGUGAUAAAGUUGUAAAUCGGAGAUUAUGGAUAAAAUCUGAGAACAGAAGCCAGAUUGACUGCUUACAUUGGAUGUUUAAGGAUGUUGCUAUCAGGCACAGUGACAGUUGGGCUGCCAACUAGCCUUGCAUAAGCAGGGUGACGUCUAGAUGGAACUGAAAGCAACUGAGAUGAACAAGGAAGACCUGACAGAUGUUUGCAGAUGGAAAAAGAGAUGGUGACGCUCACUUUAUAGGAGAAAAUAAUUGAAACCUUACGUUGAACAAUUAAUACUUUACUCUCCUGUGGACUGACGGCUCUGUCUUCCAGCAUAUGACUGGAUGACAAUACCAAGAUAGGGGCUUUAAGAGACAUCAUAGGACUGGUCAAAACAAAACUUUCAUUUUCAAGGACUUGGGGUUCUGUCAAUCUGCUUCAUAUGUGAUUUGGAAUUGGAACGCUGGCUUUUGAUCUUUUAAGGCAAGCAAUAAGGAA